UUCAGUCCGCCAUUGCUCCGCGCGCCUUCUCCAUUGCGCAGCAGUUAAUUACUUCGCAGUAAAACCGCGAUCCUGUUCCAAUGGCGGCAGCUCACGUAGCAUUAUGGAGAUGCUAACCCGGGACUUCCUUUUGUUUUUAUCGCUUUGUGUGACAAUUUGUGGCGUCAGGUGCGAAGUGUUUUCCCUAAAGACGAAGGCCUCUUUUCAGAAAAGGAUUUAUUUGCUAGCUGAGAGGAGCCUCCUUCAACAAGGGGUUAGAAGAAGGAUGACGGGAAACAUGGGAAGAGAAAGAGGAAUGAGAUGCAAAGAAGGGGAAACCAGGUUGAAAAAUCUCUCUGAUGAAGAAAGCAACGUGAUUCUCCACCAGCUGUUUGAGCUGACACACAGCAUCCUGAGACUCGGCCAGUCUGGAGGUCAGCGUCUGGUUCUCCUUCUCCCUCGACAUCACCAGCUCCUGCAGGGCCUCCCGCUCAGCA